rnacentral:rRNA from 1 species
AUUCCAGCUCCAAUAGCGUAUAUUAAAGUUGUUGCGGUUAAAAAGCUCGUAGUUGGAUUUCUGCCGAGGACGACCGGUCCGCCCUCUGGGUGAGUAUCUGGCUCGGCCUGGGCAUCUUCUUGGAGAACGUAACUGCACUUGACUGUGUGGUGCGGUAUCCAGGACUUUUACUUUGAGGAAAUUAGAGUGUUUCAAGCAGGCACACGCCUUGAAUACAUUAGCAUGGAAUAAUAAUAUAGGACCUCGGUUCUAUUUUGUUGGUUUCUAGAGCUGAGGUAAUGAUUAAUAGGGAUAGUUGGGGGCAUUCGUAUUUAACUGUCAGAGGUGAAAUUCAUGGAUUUUGGAAAGAUGAACUACUGCGAAGGCAUUUACCAAGGAUGUUUUCAUU